CACAGGAAUAGCCCUGCUAUCCUGAGAUGAGCACCUGCUUUUCAUUCCUCUAUUUCUUUGAAGUGUUCCAAGGUUGCCAGGGUGUCUCAGUGAAGAAAGUGGUUCUGUUCCGCUUACAAGCAAAGGGUAUGGCAAGAAGCACGACUGGACCAUGGAAAUACUGGUCACCUGCAGACAAAACACUGGAAAAAAAGACCGUGAAAGCUAUCUUCUGUCUGGAGUUGGUAAUGUGGCAGGCAUUUCCAACACCUCCCUCUUUUGGCUCCACAAGACUCCUGUGAAGAGCUAGCUGCUGCUCAUGUAUUGCUUGCAUAGCCUGGCUCUUCACUCUGUGUAAGUCCUCUGAGCAGAGGAAUGUCAAUUCCAUUUUCAUUGUUAUUUUGGCUAAGAAAACGGUGAACUCUUGA
rnacentral:lncRNA from 1 species